rnacentral:rRNA from 1 species
AAGGAUCAUUACAGGAGGGACGCUUCGGCGUCCGUAAAAUCAGUCUCGUGUCACGUUUCUAGGAAAGAGAAAAAAUGAUAAGGAGCCGGGGGACCAUCAAGAGGGGCCCACAGUGUUGGCUUUGGACAAUAUGGAAUAACUCUGUAAGACCACGGCCCUCGCUGGUCAAGAAUGAUGCCGUGCCUGUUGGACCAUCUCCAGCGGGGGAAGUGUGCUAGGGACCAUUGGGUUGCCUCGUCAGAGGCACGCGUUCGAAGUCGGUUCAGGUGGGUCUGCGCCUCCGGAGCACAGACAAAAAUACACCCUUUAAACACCCGUGCACCCUUGGCGCGAGUGCUUUCCUCACUCGCGCCCCAAUACAUAUUAUAACGCUUGUCAUGCAUGUCUUGUCGGGCUCUACGGAGCGUCAUAAAGUUAAAUACAACUUUCAACAACGGAUCUCUUGGCUUUCGCAUCGAUGAAGAACGCCGCGAAAGUGCGAAACGUAAUGUGAAUUGCAGAAUUCAGUGAAUCAUCGAAUCUUUGAACGCAUCUUGCGCUCCUUGGUAUUCCGAGGAGCAUGCCUGUUUGAGUGUCGUGAAGAGAGGAGUCGAACGCCUCGUUUACGAGGGGUUCGGAUUUGGACGCUGUCGGACCUCGUCCGGCUCGUCUCGAAAUGCAUUAGCCGUCACCCAACCUCGUAGACCGACGGUGUGAUAAGUUGAUCGCCGGAGCGUCGCGUGGGUAGGGUCGGCUUCUAGUCGUCUUUGGACAAUCAGUCGUUCUGACCUCAAAUCAGGUAGGACUACCCGCUGAACUUAA